UACGGGGGGAGCAAGCGUUGUUCGGAUUUACUGGGCGUAAAGGGCGCGUAGGCGGCCAGUGCAAGUCAGUUGUGAAAUCUCCGAGCUUAACUCGGAAAGGUCAACUGAUACUGCUCGGCUAGAGUGCGGAAGGGGCAACUGGAAUUCUCGGUGUAGCGGUGAAAUGCGUAGAUAUCGAGAGGAACACCGAUGGCGAAGGCAGGUCUCUGGGCCGAUACUGACGCUGAGGAGCGAAAGCGUGGGGAGCGAACAGG
rnacentral:rRNA from 1 species